rnacentral:rRNA from 1 species
GACGAACGCUGGCGGCGCGCUUAACACAUGCCAGUCGAACGGAAAGGCCUGCUUUCCCUUGUGGAUUGCGGGUACUCGAGUGGCGAACGGGUGAGUAACACGUGAGUGAUCUGCCCCCAACUUGGGUAUAAGCCUGGGAAACUGGGUCUAAUUCCCGAUAGGACUGCAGGGUGGUGCCUGUGGUGGAAAACGAUUUUCUAGUGGUUGGGGAUGAGCUCGCGGCCUAUCAGCUUGUUGGUGGGGUAAUGGCCUACCAAGCCGGCGACGGGUAGCCGGCCUGAGAGGGUGGACGGCGACAUUGGGACUGAGAUACGGCCCAGACUCCUACGGGAGGCAGCAGUGGGGAAUAUUGCACAAUGGGCGGAAGCCUGAUGCAGCGACGCCGCGUGGGGGAUGACGGCCUUCGGGUUGUAAACUCCUUUCGACCGCGAGGAAGCCACCUGGUUGGAAGGGUGGUGACGGUAGUGGUAGAAGAAGCACCGGCUAACUACGUG